CCUGUGGUAGUACCUGUGGUGCCUGUAUUAGUACCUGUGAUACCUGUAGUACCUGUGGUAGAACCUCCUGCUGCUGGGCCUGGCGGUGAAACUCUGUGACACGGCUAGACCCAGCAGGUACCUCUAGUACCUGUGGUAGUACCUGUGGUACCUCUAGUAGUACCUGUAGUAGUAGUAGUACCUCCUGCUGCUGGGGCUGGCGGAGAAACUCUGUGACACGGCUAGGCCUAGCAAGAACCUGUAGUAAUACCUGUGGUAGUACCUCUAGUACCUGUGGUACCUGUGGUACCUGUAGUAGUACUACCUCCUGCUGCUGGGACUGGCGGUGAAACUUUGUGACACGGCUAGGCCUAGCAGGUACCUGUGGUAGUACCUCUAGUACCUGUGGUACCUGUGGUACCUGUGGUAGUACCUGUGGUACCUGUAGUAGUACCUGUAGUACUACCUCCUGCUGCUGGGCCUGGUGGUGAAACUCUGUGACACGGCUAGGCCUAGCAGGCCACCCCCUGUGCUCGCUUUUCUCUGCGUCUGCACGGGGCUCUCGCUGCUGUGGAUGGGGGUCCACCGGUGCCUGGAGAGACCCCCUCGAGACUCCGCCGUGAGGGACCCCCACGCAGGGCCGGCCUGGCUCAGAGUGGCUCUGGUGGUGUUUGCGGUCCCCUCUCUCGCCAUGUCGGCGUCUGACGCCGCAGUGGCCCUGGGGGGUGCCAGCGGCUGCCCCCAGGGCAGUCUCACGCUGCCCCUGGGGCACGCGGCCCUACAGGCAGCCUUCACUCUCACACUGGUCAGUGAACACGUGACACACGUGAACACACUCACACGUGAACACACACUACACUAUACACUAUACACUACACUAUACACUACACAAGUGGACAGUCUCACGCUGCCCCUGGGGCACGCGGCCCUCCAGGCAGCCUUCACUCUCACACUGGUCAGUGAACA